UACGAAGGGGGCUAGCGUUGUUCGGAAUUACUGGGCGUAAAGCGCACGUAGGCGGAUUGUUAAGUUAGGGGUGAAAUCCCAGGGCUCAACCCUGGAACUGCCUUUAAUACUGGCAAUCUCGAGUCUGAGAGAGGUGAAUGGAAUUCCGAGUGUAGAGGUGAAAUUCGUAGAUAUUCGGAGGAACACCAGUGGCGAAGGCGGCUCACUGGCUCGGUACUGACGCUGAGGUGCGAAAGCGUGGGGAGCAAACAGG
rnacentral:rRNA from 1 species